rnacentral:rRNA from 1 species
GGAUUAGAUACCCUGGUAGUCCACGCCGUAAACGAUGUCAACUAGCCGUUGGGGAACUUGAUUCUUUAGUGGCGCAGCUAACGCACUAAGUUGACCGCCUGGGGAGUACGGCCGCAAGGUUAAAACUCAAAUGAAUUGACGGGGGCCCGCACAAGCGGUGGAGCAUGUGGUUUAAUUCGAUGCAACGCGAAAAACCUUACCAUCUCUUGACAUCCUGCGAACUUGGUAGAGAUACCUUGGUGCCUUCGGGAGCGCAGUGACAGGUGCUGCAUGGCUGUCGUCAGCUCGUGCCG